UUAACCUCGGAUCAGGUAGGGAUACCCGCUGAACUUAAGC
rnacentral:rRNA from 1 species